UACGAAGGGUGCAAGCGUUACUCGGAAUUACUGGGCGUAAAGCGUGCGUAGGUGGUUUGUUAAGUCUGAUGUGAAAGCCCUGGGCUCAACCUGGGAAUUGCAUUGGAUACUGGCAGGCUAGAGUGCGGUAGAGGAUGGCGGAAUUCCCGGUGUAGCAGUGAAAUGCGUAGAGAUCGGGAGGAACAUCUGUGGCGAAGGCGGCUCACUGGCCCAGUACUGACGCUGAGGUGCGAAAGCGUGGGGAGCAAACAGGG
rnacentral:rRNA from 1 species